CUCAAGACCGACGCUGAUUGGCUGAGAGGAAACGUGUUAUGAUUCUCGUGUUUAUUACUACUACUACUACUACUACUACUACUACUACUACUACUACUACUUCUAUGACCAUUCCUUCUCCUACUACGAGAAUCAGCGCCCUCACAAACCUACCAUUCCUCCCCUCACAAGCCCUACUUCUACAACCGACCUACUGCCACCACCACUACUUAUAACACUACGAAUUCUACUUUACAGCCUUGCAAGUGACUUCAGCGGCUCUCUGUCCCCCGCCUGCUGUUCCUAUCAACUGUAAAGUGGAAGAUGCUGGAGAAACUGCUACUUAUACGUGUGAUGAAGGCUACACGUUAUUCGGACCUUCCACGCGAUCUUGCAACUCCGCUGGGAUCUGGGAUGGGAACCUACCGAUUUGUGCUACCAACAUCGCCUACCUUCGACCGGCCAACCAGAGCUCAACCACAAGGGGGGCAGAGCCAUUCAAGGCCAACGAUGGGAUAAACUCGCAUUUGCACGAAGGAAAUCAGUGUGCCGUUACCCAGGCUGAGACAUCCCCGUGGUGGAAGGUCGACCUACUACAAGAAUACACGGUUGUUGUGGUUGUCGUCACUAC